CAAAGAAGUCUUUCUCUCCAACUUCUCAAAGGCUUAUGGCUUCCUAAAAACAAGUGAAUCUUUCAGCAUUCCACAGCUGAUUUAAAGCAUCAAAUGCCUGUGAAACAGCAAAGAUGUUGCAGGGUGAUAACUUCCAGAAGAUACCACUGGAAUAAUGCUGGUUCAUUUGCGAUGAUGGCAGAGAUGAGUGGUGCCUGUGCCAGUGCAUAAGUUACGGUGACUAGAAGGUGGCAGUGCAGCAGUGGAUAUGCGUUGGAAAAUGGAAGGAUAACAAAACACAACUGCUACAGCCUGGAUUUUGAGUGUGGUGUUGCCCACCAUUGGUUCUAGAGGGUUGUGUUAGCAU